AUGCUGGUUGGCUAGAGUAUGGGAGAGGAUGGUAGAAUUCCAGGUGUAGCGGUGAAAUGCGUAGAGAUCUGAGGAAUACCGAUGGCGAAGGCAGCCAUCUGGCCUAAUACUGACGCUGAGGUACGAAACGCAUGGGGGAGCAAACGGGAUUAGAUACCCGGGGUAGUCCAUGCCGGUAAACGAUGUCUACUAGCCGUUGGGGCCCUUGAGGCUUUAGUGGCGCAGCUAACGCGAUAAGUAGACCGCCUGGGGAGUACGGUCGCAAGACUAAAACUCAAAUGAAUUGACGGGGGCCUGCACAAGCGGUGGAGCAUGUGGUUUAAUUCGAUGCAACGCGAAGAACCUUACCUGGCCUUGACAUACAGAGAACUUUCCAGAGAUGGACCGGUGCCUUCGGGAACUCUGAUACAGGUGCUGCAUGGCUGUCGUCAGCUCGUGU
rnacentral:rRNA from 1 species